CGGUUGGGAGAAAGCCAUGCUGCCAUUGGGCUGACGGCGGCGGUGGGCUGCGUGCGUUGGAUGUAUGGGAUGGGGAUGAGGACAGGGAUGGGGACGAGGUGGGAUGGGAGGGACAGAGAUUUGGGAAUGGGUGGGGUGGGAAUGAGAAUGGGGAUGGGAUAGGAUGGGGACAGGAAUGGGUAUGGGGUGAGAAUGGGAUGGGAAUGAGAUUUGGGUUGGGAUGGGAUGGAGUGGGCAUGCAGUGAGAGUGGGAUGGGGAUGGCAUGGGAUGAGGAUAGCGACCGGGAUGGGAAUGGGAUAGGAAUGGGAUGGAAUGGGAUGGGGAUGACGUGGGAUGAGGAUAAUGACUGGGAUGGGAUGGGAAUGGGAUGGGAUGGGAUGGGAUGGGAUGGGGAUGCGAUUUGGGAUGAGGAUAGGAUGGAAUGGGCAUGCAAUGAGGAUGAGAGGGGGAUGGGAUGGGGAUGAGGAUAGCAAAAGGGAUGGGGACAGAGACAGGGAUGAAGAUGGAUGGGGAUGAGGAUUAGGGCGGGGAGGGGAAUGAGUAUGGGAUGGUAUGGGGGCAGGAAUGGGGAUGGGAUGGAAGUGGGAUGGGGAUGGGGAUGGGUGAGGAUAGAGAUGAGGAUGGGGACAGGAAUGGGGAUGGAGAUGGGAUAGGAUGGGAAUGAGGAUGGAGAUGGGGUGGAGAUGAGAUAGGAUGGGAUGGGGAUGGGGUGAAGAUGGAGAUGGGACGGGAUGGGAAUGAGGACAGGGAUGGGGAUGGAGAUGAGAUAGGAUGGGAAUGAGGACAGGGAUGGGGAUGGGGUGAAGAUGGAGGUGGGAUGGGAAUGAGGGCAGGGAUGGGGAUGGGGUGAAGAUGGAGAUGGGAUGGGAAUGAGGGCAGGGAUGGGGAUGGAGAUGGGAUAGGAUGGAAAUGAGGGCAGGGACGGGGAUGGGAUGGAGAUGGGAUGGGAAUGGGAUAAAGAUGGAGAUGGGAUAGGAUGGGAAUGAGGGUGGGGAUGGGGUGAAGAUGGAGAUGGGAUGGGAAUGAGGGUGGGGUGAAGAUGGAGAUGGGAUAGGAUGGAAAUGAGGGCAGGGAUGGGGAUGGGGUGAAGAUGGAGAUGGGAUGGGAAUGAGGGUGGGGUGAAGAUGGAGAUGGGAUGGGAAUGAGGGCGGGGAUGGGGACGGAGAUGGGAAGGAGGGCAGGAACGGAGAGGGGAUGCGGACAGCGAUGGGGAUGGAUGGGAAUGGGGAGGGGAUGGGCUCAGAUGGGUCCAUCUCCGCACCCGGCCGAGGGAAGGCGCCGCGCUCGGAGCGGACCCCGGGACUGAGCGCAGGGCUGAAGCUCCGCGCCUGAGAGCCGAACCCUCCGCGCUUAACUCUGCGCGGCCGGGCUGGGAAUCCGCGCGGGGUUACGGUGGGGAAGCGAUCCUUUCCGGCGCUGCCCUCCCGCCUCGUUAAUCCCGUCUGAUGGAAUUAAGGAGCCGUCCUCAAUAAACCUCUUUGCUCACAGCUCCUCUUCCGGAGCCGCGCGUGGCUGCGGUCACGUAGGGAUGGGGGGGGUGGGGGAGGCGGCCGCGUGCCCCCCAACCCCCCCACCCCCCCGGGGCAGGUAACAUCUCAGCGUCCAAAGGGAAAAGGAAAGGAGACGGGCAUCGGAUUCGUCACCGAACCGUCCGCCUCGCGGGGCGAUGUCGGCGCUGCGCGGCGGGGCGGCGCACGGCGACCCACGGAGACCCACGGAGCUGUGACGGC
ensembl:lncRNA